rnacentral:rRNA from 1 species
UACGAGUGGUGCAAGCGUUAUUCGGAAUCACUGGGCGUAAAGGGUGUGUAGGCGGCAAAUCAAGUCUAUUGUUAAAUAUCCCGGCUUAACCGGGAAGGUGCGAUGGAUACUGAUUUGAUAGAGGAUGGAAGAGAGAAGUGGAAUUCUCGGAGUAGCGGUAAAAUGCGUAGAUAUCCUCAGGAACACCGGUGGCGAAAGCGGCUCACUGGAUCUCUUCUGACGCUGAGGCACGAAAGCUAGGGUAGCGAACGGG